rnacentral:rRNA from 1 species
UUAGAUCAGAAGCGAGAAUGUUGACAUGAGUAGCGACAAAGAGGGUGAGAGACCCUCUCGCCGAAAGUCCAAGGGUUCCUGCUUAAAGCUAAUCUGAGCAGGGUAAGCCGGCCCCUAAGGCGAGGCCGAAAGGCGUAGUCGAUGGGAACCAGGUUAAUAUUCCUGGGCCAGUGGGAUGUGACGGAUCUCGAAGAUUGUCUGCCCUUAUCGGAUUGGGUGGGCCGUUCAGAGGUUCCUGGAAAUAGCCCCACAUCAGACCGUACCCUAAACCGACACAGGUGGACUGGUAGAGUAUACCAAGGCGCUUGAGAGAACCACGUUAAAGGAACUCGGCAAAAUGCUCCCGUAAGUUCGCGAGAAGGGAGCCCCAUAUGUACGCAAGUAUGUGUGGGGGGCACAAACUAGGGGGUGGCGACUGUUUACUUAAAACACAGGGCUGUGCGAAGCCGUAAGGCGACGUAUACAGUCUGACGCCUGCCCGGUGCUGGAAGAUUAAGAGGAGGGGUGCAAGCUCUGAAUUGAAGUCCCAGUAAACGGCGGCCGUAACGAUAACGGUCCUAAGGUAGCGAAAUUCCUUGUCGGGUAAGUUCCGACCUGCACGAAUGGCGUAACGAUCUCCCCGCUGUCUCUAACGUGGACUCAGCGAAAUUGAACUGUCUGUCAAGAUGCAGACUACCCGCGGUUAGACGGAAAGACCCCAUGAACCUUUACUCCAGCUUUGCACUGGUAUCAGGAUUGUGAUGUGCAGGAUAGGUGGUAGGCAUUGAAGCGGGGACGCCAGUCUUCGUGGAGCCUCCCUUGAGAUACCACCCUUCGCCAUCUUGAUAUCUAACCGCGGUCCGUUAUCCGGGUCCGGGACCCUGCAUGGUGGGGAGUUUGACUGGGGCGGUCGCCUCCCAAAUUGUAACGGAGGCGCGCGAUGGUUGGCUCAGACCGGUCGGAAAUCGGUCGUUGAGUGCAAUGGCAGAAGCCAGCCUGACUGCAAGACUGACAAGUCGAGCAGAGACGAAAGUCGGUCAUAGUGAUCCGGUGGUCCCAAGUGGGAGGGCCAUCGCUCAACGGAUAAAAGGUACUCUGGGGAUAACAGGCUGAUGAUGCCCAAGAGUCCAUAUCGACGGCAUCGUUUGGCACCUCGAUGUCGGCUCAUCUCAUCCUGGGGCUGGAGCAGGUCCCAAGGGUAUGGCUGUUCGCCAUUUAAAGAGGUACGUGAGCUGGGUUUAGAACGUCGUGAGACAGUUCGGUCCCUAUCUGCCGUGGGUGCAGGAGACUUGAGAAGAGUUGACCCUAGUACGAGAGGACCGGGUUGAACGAACCACUGGUGGACCAGUUAUCGUGCCAACGGUAGUGCUGGGUAGCUAUGUUCGGACAGGAUAACCGCUGAAGGCAUCUAAGCGGGAAGCCCCCUUCAAAACAAGGUCUCCCUUGAGGGCCGUGGAAGACCACCACGUCGAUAGGCCAG